CCUACGGGUGGCAGCAGUGAGGAAUAUUGGUCAAUGGGCGCGAGCCUGAACCAGCCAAGUCGCGUGAGGGAUGACUGCCCUACGGGUUGUAAACUUCUUUUAUCAGGGAAUAAAGUGAGGCACGUGUGCCUUUUUGUAUGUACUUUAUGAAUAAGCAUCGGCUAACUCCGUGCCAGCAGCCGCGGUAAUACGGAGGAUCCGAGCGUUAUCCGGAUUUAUUGGGUUUAAAGGGAGCGUAGAUGGGUUGUUAAGUCAGUUGUGAAAGUCUGCGGCUCAACCGUAAAACUGCAAUUGAUACUGGCAGCCUUGAGUACAGUUGAGGUAUGCGGAAUGCGUGGUGUAGCGGUGAAAUGCUUAGAUAUCACGAAGAACUCCGAUUGCGAAGGCAGCUUACUAAACUGCCACUGACAUUGAUGCUCGAAAGUGUGGGUAUCAAACAGGAUUAGAUACCCCAGUAGUC
rnacentral:rRNA from 1 species